rnacentral:rRNA from 1 species
CCUACGGGAGGCAGCAGUGAGGAAUAUUGGUCAAUGGACGAGAGUCUGAACCAGCCAAGUAGCGUGAAGGAUGACUGCCCUAUGGGUUGUAAACUUCUUUUAUAUGGGAAUAAAACGUUCCACGUGUGGGAUUUUGUAUGUACCAUAUGAAUAAGGAUCGGCUAACUCCGUGCCAGCAGCCGCGGUAAUACGGAGGAUCCGAGCGUUAUCCGGAUUUAUUGGGUUUAAAGGGAGCGUAGGUGGAUUGUUAAGUCAGUUGUGAAAGUUUGCGGCUCAACCGUAAAAUUACAGUUGAAACUGGCAGUCUUGAGUACAGUAGAGGUGGGCGGAAUUCGUGGUGUAGCGGUGAAAUGCUUAGAUAUCACGAAGAACUCCGAUUGCGAAGGCAGUUCACUGGACUGCAACUGACACUGAGGCUCGAAAGUGUGGGUAUCAAACAGGAUUAGAUACCCUAGUAGUC